AUUGAACGCUGGCGGCAUGCCUUACACAUGCAAGUCGAACGGUAGCGGGCCUUCGGGUGCCGACGAGUGGCGCACGGGUGCGUAAUACAUCGGAACGUGCCCGAUCGUGGGGGAUAACGAGGCGAAAGCUUUGCUAAUACCGCAUACGAUCUACGGAUGAAAGCAGGGGACCGCAAGGCCUUGCGCGGACGGAGCGGCCGAUGGCAGAUUAGGUAGUUGGUGGGAUAAAAGCUUACCAAGCCGACGAUCUGUAGCUGGUCUGAGAGGAUGAUCAGCCACACUGGGACUGAGACACGGCCCAGACUCCUACGGGAGGCAGCAGUGGGGAAUUUUGGACAAAGGGCGCAAGCCUGAUCCAGCCAUGCCGCGUGCAGGAUGAAGGCCUUCGGGUUGUAAACUGCUUUUGUACGGAACGAAAAGCCUUCUUUUAAUACAGGAGGGUCAUGACGGUACCGUAAGAAUAAGCACCGGCUAACUACGUG
rnacentral:rRNA from 1 species